CGGGCGUUAAGUUGCAGGGUAUAGACCCGAAACCCGGUGAUCUAGCCAUGGGCAGGUUGAAGGUUGGGUAACACUAACUGGAGGACCGAACCGACUAAUGUUGAAAAAUUAGCGGAUGACCUGUGGCUGGGGGUGAAAGGCCAAUCAAACCGGGAGAUAGCUGGUUCUCCCCGAAAGCUAUUUAGGUAGCGCCUCGUGAAUUCAUCUCCGGGGGUAGAGCACUGUUUCGGCUAGGGGGCCAUCCCGGCUUACCAACCCGAUGCAAACUGCGAAUACCGGAGAAUGUUAUCACGGGAGACACACGGCGGGUGCUAACGUCCGUCGUGAAGAGGGAAACAACCCAGACCGCCAGCUAAGGUCCCAAAGUCAUGGUUAAGUGGGAAACGAUGUGGGAAGGCCCAGACAGCCAGGAUGUUGGCUUAGAAGCAGCCAUCAUUUAAAGAAAGCGUAAUAGCUCACUGGUCGAGUCGGCCUGCGCGGAAGAUGUAACGGGGCUAAACCAUGCACCGAAGCUGCGGCAGCGACACUGUGUGUUGUUGGGUAGGG
rnacentral:rRNA from 3 species